rnacentral:rRNA from 1 species
GACCGAGGGUGCAAACGUUGUUCGGAAUUACUGGGCGUAAAGCGCGUGUAGGCGGCCAUCUAAGUCGGGCGUGAAAUCCCACGGCUCAACCGUGGAAGUGCACUCGAAACUGGAUGGCUAGAGUCCUGGAGAGGAAGGUGGAAUGCUUGGUGUAGAGGUGAAAUUCGUAGAUAUCAAGCGGAACACCGGUGGCGAAGGCGGCCUUCUGGACAGUGACUGACGCUGAGACGCGAAAGCGUGGGGAGCAAACAGG